AUGCUCAUUUCAGCAGCACAUGUACUAAAAUUGAAAUGAUACAGAGAAGAUUAGGAUGGCCCCUGCACAAGAUUAACAGGCAAAAUAGUGCAGUAUUCCAUAUUUUG